rnacentral:rRNA from 1 species
CAUUGUACGGUGAAACUGCGAAUGGCUCAUUAAAUCAGUUAUCGUUUAUUUGAUAGUUACCUUACUACUUGGAUAUCCGUGGUAAUUCUAGAGCUAAUACAUGCUUACAGCCCCGACUUCUGGAAGGGGCGAGUUUAUUAGAUAAAAAGCCGAACGUUGUUGGUGAUUCAUGAUAACCUUUCGAAUCGCGAGUAAUCGCGAUGGUUCAUUCAAAUUUCUGCCCUAUCAAUUGAACCGUAGGGUAGUGGCCUACGGUGAUUUCUACGGGUAACGGGGAAUAAGGGUUCGAUUCCGGAGAGGGAGCCUGAGAAACGGCUACCACAUCCAAGGAAGGCAGCAGGCGCGCAAAUUACCCAAUCCCGACACGGGGAGGUAGUGACAAUAAAUAACGAUGCGGGGCACGUAUGUGUUUCGCAAUUGGAAUGAGUACAAUGUAAAUACCUUAACGAGGAACAAUUGGAGGGCAAGCCUGGUGCCAGCAGCCGCGGUAAUUCCAGCUCCAAAAGCGUAUAUUAAAGUUGUUGCAGUUAAAAAGCUCGUAGUUGAUUUUCGACGCAUCUGAGGGGUCCACUUCGGUGCGUACUCUGAGGGUGCGUUUUCUCUGGGGCGCCUUUUGGCAAGCCAGACUGUUACUUUGAAAAAAUUAGAGUGUUCAAAGCGGGCGAUAGCUUGAAUAUAUUAGCAUGGAAUAAUAGAAUAGGACGGAUGGAUCUAUUUUGUUGGUUUCUAGAACCAUCGUAAUGAUUNAAUGGGCAUCGGGCGGGGGCAUCGGUAUUCAAAUGUCAGAGGUGAAAUUCUUUGGAUUAUUUUGAAGACCAACUGCUGCGAAAGCGUUUGCCAAGGAGAUUGCCGUCAAUCAAGAACGAAAGUUAGGGGAUCGAAGAUGAUCAGAUACCGGUCGUAGUCCUAACCGUAAACGAUGCCGACUAGGGAUCGGGGUGGCGUUCAAUUUCUGACUCACUCGGCACCUUAGGAGAAAUCAAAGUCUUUGGGUUCGG